rnacentral:rRNA from 1 species
GACGAACGCUGGCGGCGUGCUUAACACAUGCAAGUCGAACGGAAAGGCCCUGCUUUUGUGGGGUGCUCGAGUGGCGAACGGGUGAGUAACACGUGAGUAACCUGCCCUUGACUUUGGGAUAACUUCAGGAAACUGGGGCUAAUACCGGAUAGGAGCUCCUGCUGCAUGGUGGGGGUUGGAAAGUUUCGGCGGUUGGGGAUGGACUCGCGGCUUAUCAGCUUGUUGGUGGGGUAGUGGCUUACCAAGGCUUUGACGGGUAGCCGGCCUGAGAGGGUGACCGGCCACAUUGGGACUGAGAUACGGCCCAGACUCCUACGGGAGGCAGCAGUGGGGAAUAUUGCACAAUGGGCGGAAGCCUGAUGCAGCAACGCCGCGUGCGGGAUGACGGCCUUCGGGUUGUAAACCGCUUUCGCCUGUGACGAAGCCUGAGUGACGGUAAUGGGUAAAGAAGCACCGGCUAACUACGUG